rnacentral:lncRNA from 1 species
GGCAGGCUCUUGAUCUUACUCUGUCACGGUGUUUUUCUGGAAUCAAUGUCAGAUGAAGGUCUAGGGUGGCCAGCCUAAAUGAAACCUUAAGGCCAGGUUGGUGGUGUUCCUGGGCUGGGCAUCUGGCUGAACAGAUACUAUGCUAGCCAAAUAGCCAAGCUCAGCUGAGCAGUUUCCUAAAACGGUAUCAGAAAAUUUAACAAUGUUUAGUGCUUUUGACAAUUCUGAGAGUGCCAAACCCUCUUAAGUGCACUUACACCUCUUUUUUGAGUAAAUCUCACCUUCUCUGUAAUGAGUCAGGGCCAUGGUUCAGUUUAUUGGGCAUAGAAGAGGCUAACUCCUUAUUGAUCUGUUGGCCCUGGCCCUGGCCCACCUCAUAGAUCCACUCCUCCAAGGCCACACGAAGCACUCAUAGUUAGUGAAGUCAUUUUCUUGUGGUUUACCUCUGUAAUCCCAUCACUAUGGAGGUGCAGGCAGGAAGGUUGUCAUGAGUUUAAGGCGUGCCUAAGCUACACAGUGAGACCUGUCUCAAAAAAAAAAAAAAAAAAAAGGAAAAAAAGGAAAGAAAGAAAGAAAAGGAAAAAAGGAAAAGGCAGUAGAAGUUGGUAUGGGCUUAGUGCUUUGCUGCUGCUCAGCAUGGCAUAGAAACUUGUUAGGGUGCAGUCCUGAAACACAAGAUGAGUUUACUCUUGCUGAGCACAAUCCAACAGUCGUCUUGACGAGUUAAAUUUUAGGUAGCUACAUAAUAAGAAAUUCCAUAGUCUUGUCUUUGUUUUGAUUGUGACCUGGUUAGAGUUUUCCAUAGCCGAGGUGUCUUCAUGGAUGAUAUGUGCUUUCUCGGGACACUUAUAAGAAGCAGAUACUGUGUUUAACAGCUCUUUCCCCUCCCCAGGCAAGGAUAUCCUGAAGGAUACUAUAAUUCCAAGAGUGGAUGGAGCAGUCACAGUGAUUACUAUGCAAAUUAUUACUCUGGCCAGUAUGAUUAUGGAGGUAUGUUUAGAAGUUGUAACCAUUAGCAGGGGAUGUCCAACCACUGCCUGUGCCCAUGCAGCCAAGUAUAAGUCAUGGUCUGGCUGGUGAAUCAAGGUCACUUUUCUUUUCACUAUGUUUUUAAUCACAAGAGCCAAAGUAAUUAAGAAUUCUGUGGGCUGGAGAGAUGGCUCAGCAGUUAGAGCCCUGGCUGCUUACUCUUCCAGAGGACCUGAGUUCAGUUCCCAGCAACCACAUGGUGGCUCACAGCCAUCUGUAAUGAGAUCCAGUGUCCUCUUCUGUUGUGUCUGAAGGCAGCUACAGUGUACUCAGAUACAUAAAAUAAAUAAAUC